UCAGGGCCGAUCCAAGGAACUCACUAAACCCGCCAAUCGGUUGUAGCCGUGGGCGGUGUGUACAAAGGGCAGGGGCUUAAUCAGCACAAGCUUGUGACCCGUGCUUACAGGGAGUUCCUAGUUCAGAUCUGAAGA